rnacentral:rRNA from 1 species
CCUACGGGGGGCAGCAGUGGGGAAUAUUGGACAAUGGGGGCAACCCUGAUCCAGCCAUGCCGCGUGUGUGAAGAAGUCCCUCGGGUUGUAAAGCACUUUCAGUGAGGAAGAACGCCUGGUGGUUAAUACCCAUCAGGAAAGACAUCACUCACAGAAGAAGCACCGGCUAACUCCGUGCCAGCAGCCGCGGUAAUACGGAGGGUGCGAGCGUUAAUCGGAAUUACUGGGCGUAAAGCGCGCGUAGGUGGCUUGAUAAGCCGGUUGUGAAAGCCCCGGGCUCAACCUGGGAACGGCAUCCGGAACUGUCAAGCUAGAGUGCAGGAGAGGAAGGUAGAAUUCCCGGUGUAGCGGUGAAAUGCGUAGAGAUCGGGAGGAAUACCAGUGGCGAAGGCGGCCUUCUGGACUGACACUGACACUGAGGUGCGAAAGCGUGGGUAGCAAACAGGAUUAGAUACCCCAGUAGUC